rnacentral:rRNA from 1 species
GAUGAACGCUGGCGGCGUGCCUAACACAUGCAAGUCGAACGUGAAGGCCGAGAUGAUUACUUCGGUUUGAUUUUUGGUUGGAAAGUGGCGAACGGGUGAGUAACACGUAGGUAACCUGCCUCGAAGUGGGGGACAACCAUUGGAAACGAUGGCUAAUACCGCAUAGUCCUAUUUUUGUGAGAACAAAGAUGGGUAAAACUCCGGUGCUUCGAGAGGGGCCUGCGGUCGAUUAGCUAGUUGGUGGGGUAAAGGCCUACCAAGGCGACGAUCGAUAGCUGGUCUGAGAGGACGAUCAGUCACACGGGAACUGAGACACGGUCCCGACUCCUACGGGGGGCAGCAGUGAGGAAUAUUGCACAAUGGGGGAAACCCUGAUGCAGCAACGCCGCGUGGAGGAUGAAGGCUUCGGUCGUAAACUCCUUUUCUGGGGGAAGAGAAAAAGGACGGUACCCCAGGAAUAAGUCACGGCUAACUACG